UGUAGUUUGUAGUCUAGCAGACCUACUCUCAGAAAUUUGGUCUGCUAGACUACAAACUACA
rnacentral:sRNA from 1 species